rnacentral:rRNA from 1 species
AACGAACGCUGGCGGCAUGCCUAACACAUGCAAGUCGAACGGAUGCAGCAAUGCAUCAGUGGCAGACGGGUGGGUAACACGUGGGAAUCUACCCAGUAGCCUGGAAUAACCGCGGGAACCUGCGGCUAAUACCGGAUACGCCCCUCGGGGGAAAGGAGCAAUCCACUAUUGGAGGAGCCCGCGUCCGAUUAGCUAGUUGGUGAGGUAACGGCUCACCAAGGCGAUGAUCGGUAGCCGGUUUGAGAGAACGACCAGCCACACUGGGACUGAGACACGGCCCAGACUCCUACGGGAGGCAGCAGUGGGGAAUAUUGGACAAUGGGGGAAACCCUGAUCCAGCAAUGCCGCGUGGGUGAUGAAGGCCUUCGGGUUGUAAAGCCCUUUUGGCGGGGACGAUGAUGACGGUACCCGCAGAAGAAGCCCCGGCUAACUUCGUGCCAGCCGCCGCGGUAA